GAGAUGUGGGUAGUCCGCACGAGCGCACCUCACUUUUAGUUGCCAUCAUUAAGUUGGGCACUCUGAAAGAACUGCCAGUGAUAAGCUGGAGGAAGGUGGGGAUGACGUCAAGUCCUCAUGGCCCUUACGUGUUGGGCUACACACGUGCUACAAUGGUAUCUACAACAGGAAGCAAAACGGCAACGUUAAGCAAAUCCCAAAAAGAUACCUCAGUUCGGAUUGCACUCUGCAACUCGAGUGCAUGAAGCUGGAAUUACUAGUAAUCGUGGAUCAGCGUGCCACGGUGAAUGCGUUCCCGGGUCUUGUACACACCGCCCGUCACACCAUGGGAGUUGGUUCUACCUUAAGGCAAGGUUUUAAACCCUUGUCCACGGUAUAGUCAGCGACUGGGGUGAAGUCGUAACAAGGUAGCCGUAGGGGAACCUGCGGCUGGAUUACCUCCUUUCU
rnacentral:rRNA from 1 species